UUCAAGAUGCGAGCUUUAAAUGGAACAGAGACAUCGCCGUUUGGACCAAGCUCGCGUCUGUUAUAUGCGUGUUUCUUGUCGAACACCAGUCGUCGUCUCCAUUUCGCAAGAUUUCUCUACUCUCUCUCUCUCUGUAUGUCGUCCCUAUUUCCCCAAGAUUUCACUACUCCUCUCUCUCUCUCUCUCUCUCUCUCUCUCUGGGUGUGUAUUUAACUGAAUCUUCAUCCACAAACGGACGUCAAUCCUCUCCAAACUGAUUCUGGCAUCACAUUUUUGGAUAUGCAAAAUUUCAAUUUUUGUCUGGAUUGAGUACGACUCAAAUGAGGCUAUCGAUUUCAUCAUUUCAUUUCAGGAUUGAACUUUCUGGCUGAUGAUGAAGUAUAUUUCAUGGUUUUGAUGACCCAAGUAAAUUUAUUAUCCUCGGCAGUUGAUAUGUAACAGACCUGACCACGGGGAGAUACUUGGAGUUCAUAUUUUUGGGUUACACGCUGCAGAUCUCAUCCAUGAAGCAUCCAAUGCCAUAGCGUUGGGGACACGUAUUCAGGUAGUUUUGCUUUGAUAAGUACCAAAAUUCUGCUACAUAAUUCAUCCCCCACACCUUAAUAUGUGAGGUUUCAGAAUGGAUCACUUUCUUGCAACUUUGAAGGUUUUCCUUAGCUUUCAACGUGGGACUUCAUUUUUUACAUCUAGCUCUGAAUUUUCCUAGGUAUUGAAGGAGAGUGACUGUGACUGACACUACACAUUAUACGCAAAUGUAUGUUUUUGGUUUGUACCCUGCAGGACAGCAGUUCAUGCUCAUCCAACCUUGUCCAAAGUUCUUGACGAACUCUUCAAAUAUAUGAGCCUUGAUAAGCCUCUCCUAUCGACUAGUAAAUGCUGAGCGAGCAUGGAAACACUGACGUCUUCCGAUCACAUUUCCUAGAUAUGAUAGUUAAAACCAUUUACUCUGAAUGUUUAGUAUCUGGGUCUUGCCCAUUUGCAUCACAUUGACAGAAAUCAAUCUCUCUCAUCCGCUAAACUAUUGGAGCAGGUAAAUGCUAGAGUCCCUAGUUCCGACUAGUGAACCAAUUGCCGUAUAAAAUCUGGUGUAACAGUUUUGGAGAGAACUUGUAUCAGGGAAUUUCAAGAUAUACUUUCAGCUGUCUCUUUUUAUAGACUUUUGGGGAAUUUCAAGUAUCCAAACCCGAGCAUGUAUCUCCCUACAAUGCCGUCUAUCUUUUUGGAAAGCAUCCUCAAGAGAAACAAAGAAUCCAAGGCGUGAGCCCAUAUACAAGAGAUAAGCGAAAGCAGAGAAAAACUAAAACCUAUACAAGAGAUACUAGAGAGAUAUAUGCCAAUUCUGGCAGAGCUGAGACGAUAAAGAUGUAGGCCUUAUAUUUCUGCUUUGAGAAAGCUCUUAUCCUGACUUCAAAUACAUAUGAUCGGCCGAAUAACAGCCAAAGGGGGCUUAUGAAUGCCUCUAAACUUUCUACUAAUCCUCUCUUGCCAAACAAAAUAAACUGCAGCAGCAAAGGCAACCCUCCUUAGAAGAUUAGGACGUUAGGGAGUAGUCUUCUGUGGCCAAGGGGCAGGGACCUUGGGAAUGCAGCAGAGAUCAGGAGUGGCAGCCCACAGUUGACUAAAGAAGGGACAGGCAAAGAGAAGGGACACUCUCAGAUGCAAAUUUCAGCUGCCUCCCUUGUUCUUCAAUCAUCAGGUGCAAAUUUCGCUGGAUCUCUAACUGCUCAUCAGAACACCGUCGACUGACAAAUAUAAAAAUUCAGUAUAUGAAUCUGAGAAAAAUGGCAUUAACAUGAA